rnacentral:lncRNA from 1 species
AAAAACCAGCAACUUUAGCCGACGAUAUUUAAAGAUUUAUUCGUCGGCUAUAGUAUUUUUAAAUUUUUUUAUAAGGUUUAGUCGACGAAUUAUGGCAUAUUUCGUCGACUAUAGUUAUUUUUUUAAUUAUUUUUAUAAGGUUUAGCCGACGAAAGUGACUAUAUUUCGUCGGCUAUAGUUAUUUUUUUAAAUUUUUUAUAUGGUUUAGCCGACAAAACAGAUUAUAUUUCGUCGGCUAUAGUUAUUUUUUUAAUUAUUUUUAUAAGGUUUAGCCGACGAAACAGACUAUAUUUCGUCGGCUAUAGUCUGGGAAAAUUUUUUUUAUUACAGACUUUAGCCGACGAAUAUCUUAAUUGUUUCGUCAGCUAAAGUUAGGGAAAAAAACCAACGACAUGUUUUUCGUCGGCUAAACUGUGGGACAAUAGCUGACGAAAUUUUUUUUUCGUCGGCUAAAGUCAUCACCGAAGACAUUUUCUCGACGAAAUCUUAGCCAACGAAUUUCGUUGGCUAAAGUGCUUGUCCUGGUAGUGUAUUUAAUAUUUCCGAAUGGUAACAAAAAGAUUGUUGAAAUUUAAGAUGGAUCUUUUGUUAAAAAUGGAUGGUAUUGAGGAAAAGAAAAGAGAGAGAGAAUAAUUUUGUCGGCUAAAAUGCUCGUCCUGGCAGUGUAUUUAAUAUUUCCGAAUGGUAACAAAAAUAUUGUUGAAAUUUAAGAUGGAUCUUUUGUUAAAAAUGGAUGGUAUUGAGGAAAAGAAAAGAGAGAGAGAAUAUGUACGAGCGAUCACACCGGAGAGUUGCCCAGUGUAAUAAAUAUAUUUAAAAACCCGGAAGUAUUGAAAACUAGAAAAAAGGAAAGCGAGAAGGAGAGAGAGAGAAAGAGAGAGAUAGAAGAGAGGAAGACUGGGAAGACGAGGUCUUUGUGUGUGUUGUGGAUUCCAUUCAUUCGAUCUCCCAGCAAUCAGUCCUCCUCGAUUAAGGUACGUUCUGGAUUCCAUCCGCCUUGUUGUUCAUCUAGCUUCAGCU